UACGGGGGGGGCAAGCGUUGUUCGGAAUUACUGGGCGUAAAGGGCUCGUAGGUGGCCAACUAAGUCAGACGUGAAAUCCCUCGGCUUAACCGGGGAACUGCGUCUGAUACUGGAUGGCUUGAGUUCGGGAGAGGGAUGCGGAAUUCCAGGUGUAGCGGUGAAAUGCGUAGAUAUCUGGAGGAACACCGGUGGCGAAGGCGGCAUCCUGGGGCAUUCCUGACACUGAGAAGCGAAAGCUAGGGGAGCAAACAGG
rnacentral:rRNA from 1 species